ensembl:lncRNA
GGAUUGCUGACAACAGACUACAUUGUGGACUACAGAACUGAUCUAAUGGGAUCUGACGUCAGUUCUAUGAUAAAAUAUGCCCAGGGCCCCUUGAUCUAAGCUGACCACACUACUGUGCAUCAUGAUGGUAAAUGUUGCCUGGGAACCACCAGGGUUUCUUCCUGAAGCGGAGGGAGGCUACUCAGGACAUUUGUCCACAGUGCUGCCAGUCAUCCUACCCCAUAAGGAUGAAGAACAGGAAAUACAGCGAUGGAGCCAACCACGCUCUCCAUUUCAUGUGCACUUUUAUGGCUUUGAAGAAAAACUACCCUAGAUGUUCACAAAUGUCAGGAUCAAUGUUGCUGUCCCCGUUGAUCUUAAACACACUGGGAUUGUUCACAG